AUGGAAAUGGCCCAUGUGGCCUGCAACACAUAUAUGGUUAAGGCAUUGCCACCUGCUUCGUGGCAUCUCUAACCAAGUUUUUUU